rnacentral:rRNA from 1 species
UACGGAGGGGGCUAGCGUUGUUCGGAAUUACUGGGCGUAAAGCGCGCGUAGGCGGCUUUGUAAGUCAGAGGUGAAAGCCUGGAGCUCAACUCCAGAACUGCCUUUGAAACUACAUCGCUAGAAUCAUGGAGAGGUUAGUGGAAUUCCGAGUGUAGAGGUAAAAUUCGUAGAUAUUCGGAAGAACACCAGUGGCGAAGGCGACUAACUGGACAUGUAUUGACGCUGAGGUGCGAAAGCGUGGGGAGCAAACAGG